AUUUGCAGAGGAUGCUUUUGGCGCGGUGCCUUCCGAGUUCCCUGGAACGGGACGCCAUAGAGGGUGAGAGCCCCGUACGGUUGGACACCAAGCCUUUGUAAAGCUCCUUCGAC
rnacentral:rRNA from 1 species